rnacentral:lncRNA from 1 species
UUUCCUCCUAGUUCUGCUGGGCAGUGAUGAGUCUCUACAGCAUUUCAAAUCAUCGGUCAACAUCAAAUUCUCCUGGGUUGUUCGGUUUAGCAGGGGUUUUUCUCCCCUCAUCUAUCUAUACUUACAUUUCACAAGGAAUAGUUGAGCGGUAAUUCAUUGUUUUUUGUGUUUCAUAAGGUUUUUGUAUAAGAAGUGGUUACAAGGAAU